rnacentral:snRNA from 1 species
AUUGCUUCUUGGGGCCUUUUGGCUAAGAUCAAGUGCAGUAUCUGUUCUUAUCAGUUUAAUAUCUGAUACGUCCUCUACCCGAGAACAAUACAUUAAAUGGAUUUUUGGAACUAGGAGUUGGAAUAGGAGCUUGCUCCGUCCACUCCACACAUUGACCUGGUAUUGCAGUACUUCCAGGAGCAGUGCACCCCCU